rnacentral:lncRNA from 1 species
AUGCUGGGUACAUGUAAUUCAGAUUUUUUCCCUUUCCUAUCCCCACAGAAACCAUCAGGCAAGCUUCAAAACUGGAAACUCGAUGUUACAACAGUGUUUCCUGCCCCAUUGAAAGAGUUUUUGAAAGUAGCUGCUAAAUCACUAGUUCCUGUUUGCUGUAGGGCCUGUCAUAGCUGCAGAUGUCCAACCAGAGCUGGAAUGCAGCAGGGAUGGACAGGAAUCACCGCUGCUCUGCUCUGUGACCCCACCAGGAGAUGCUCAUGGGCUAAACCCGUGAGUAGCAACUUGGGCAUAAAUCCACAGAGUAUUUGGACCUGGAAUACCGCUGUGGCUCUGGCUCCUUUUCCCCUUUAUUGUCAAGAACAACUGUUUUCUCUUCCAGCUCACUGCAACGCCUCUUACUUUAGGAAGACACCUUGGGCUGGCCCUGGACUUAGCAAUGAGCUUCAUCUGACCUCAUCCCUGCACUUUGAGCACACCCCAGAGAGGACCCUGCCUGGCUUUGAGCUCACUGUGCCAAGAAUCAGAUGCCUGUAGCUGAUGCCAAUGGGAUGAAUAACACAGAGAAAUGCUGCAGAGUGGGAUGAAAGGUAGGAAAUGUGGGUGAUGCCAAGUCUUGCUUCCCCUCAGCAGAGAGGUAUUUUUUUUGCUGGAAGGCUUUCCUGUUUUUCAUUAGGCAGUUGUGUGACGGUCUCUGGGCAAGGAGUCCCAGUCCCUUGCAGUGCCAAGAAAAACACUCUAAGUUCUCGGCCUCUGAAUGCCCAUGUGGUGAAUAAGCUGGCAAGGAUUAGAUGUCCAGCUCUGCCUGUGCAUGCACGGAUGGGAACAGGCGGGAAGGAAUAUAGUCCAAGCUAGAAAAUGGUUGAAGGGAAAGAAGAAGCCUAACUGAAAAAUGCUGGAGAACUUGA